rnacentral:rRNA from 1 species
GAUGAACGCUGGCGGCGUGCCUAAUACAUGCAAGUCGAGCGAACAGACGAGGAGCUUGCUCCUCUGACGUUAGCGGCGGACGGGUGAGUAACACGUGGAUAACCUACCUAUAAGACUGGGAUAACUUCGGGAAACCGGAGCUAAUACCGGAUAAUAUAUUGAACCGCAUGGUUCAAUAGUGAAAGACGGUUUUGCUGUCACUUAUAGAUGGAUCCCCGCCGCAUUAGCUAGUUGUUAAGGUAACGGCUUACCAAGGCAACGAGGCGUAGCCGACCGGAGAGGGUGGUCGGCCACACUGGAACGGAGACGCGGUCCAGACGCCUACGAGAGGCAGCAGUAGGGAAUCUUCCGCAAUGGGCGAAAGCUUGACGGAACAACGCCGCGUGAGUGAUGAAGGUCUUCGGAUCGUAAAACUCUGUUAUUAGGGAAGAACAAAUGUGUAAGUAACUAUGCACGUCUUGACGGUACCUAAUCAGAAAGCCACGGCUAACUACGUG